AAGACCUUGCGCUUUUGGAGCGGCCGAUGCCUGAUUAGCUUGUUGGUAAGGUAAAAGCGUACCAAGGCUUCGAUCAGUAGCUGGUCUGAGAGGACGACCAGCCACACUGGGACUGAGACACGGCCCAGACUCCUACGGGAGGCAGCAGUGGGGAAUUUUGGACAAUGGGGGCAACCCUGAUCCAGCCAUGCCGCGUGAGCGAAGAAGGCCUUCGGGUUGUAAAGCUCUUUCAGCCGGAACGAAACGGUUACGGUUAAUACCCGUGACUACUGACGGUACCGGAAGAAGAAGCACCGGCUAACUACGUGCCAGCAGCCGCGGUAAUACGUAGGGUGCGAGCGUUAAUCGGAAUUACUGGGCGUAAAGCGUGCGCAGGUGGUUUUGUAAGUCAGAUGUGAAAGCCCCGGGCUCAACCUGGGAACU
rnacentral:rRNA from 1 species